CCUACGGGUGGCAGCAGUGAGGAAUAUUGGUCAAUGGGCGCAAGCCUGAACCAGCCAAGUAGCGUGCAGGAUGACGGCCCUACGGGUUGUAAACUGCUUUUAUAGGGGAAUAAAUUGCGGCACGUGUGCAGUUUUGUAUGUACUGCUUGAAUAAGGCUGGGCUAAUUCCGUGUCAGCAGCCGCGGUAAUACGGAGGUUCCGGGCGUUAUCCGGAUUUACUGGGUUUAACGGGAGCGUAGAUGGGUGGUUAAGCCAGUCGUGAAAGGUGGCGGCUCAACCGUAGCACUGCAAGGGAUACUGGAAGGCUUGAGUGAAGUGGAGGUAAGCGGAAUUCGUGGUGUAGCGGUGAAAUGAGUAGAUAUCACGAAGAACUCCGAUUGCGAAGGCAGCUUACGGGACUGCUACUGACGUUGAUGCUCGAAAGCGUGGGUAUCAAACAGGAUUAGAUACCCUAGUAGUC
rnacentral:rRNA from 1 species